AGUACCCAUGUGGGGAAUCGAACCCGGGUCUUUGGCGUGACGAGCAAAUGCUUUAACCUCUUGGCUACCCCACCGCUAAGGCUCUACCAACAUCAUUCAGUCAGUUUCGGCAUGGGUAAUUUGAGGAUGCAGAUUAGCCCACAAUUACGCACGCACGUACUCCCACACAUAUAUAAUAGAUGUUUCAUCUUUCUUAUUCCACCGUAAACCGUCUUUUACUGCAUUUUGUACUCGAAAUAAAUCACCGUUAGAAACUGCUUCGACGUAAUGGGGUCCGACGCGGGUUACCCUCUGUUUCCGUUUCUGGCGUGUUCAAAACCAGAGAACGCAGUCAGAUUAACAACUCCAGUCAAAUAUACACUGCUUUUAUUCCGAGUAAUCGAUAAUUGUGUGCUGAGGUUAAAGAUGAAAUUAUUCAAAAUCCAAACACGCCUCCAACCCAUCCUCACCAUGAGCAUCUAGAGACGUCAACUAAACCGCUCCAGGAAACACGAUCUAUCAUUCAUUGUACCUGUGUCACGUCGGUUAUGUAGCAAGGCCUUUUGAAAUAUUCAGACAUAUCGACAGCUGGCCAGUUAAUGAGUGUAAACAGUCGCCGUGACAUUUCUUUCCAAGCUGACGCAAUAAUUGAUUUGAAAAUCUUUCCGAAGUAAUCACCAGGGGAUCAAUACUUAAAUACUGUUUUAUUAUUUACGUUAACUGAUUAUAGUUUUGUUUUAUGUUUUUGUACGCGAUCCUCUACACAGUAUCAUUUAUUUAUGUUUUCUUAAAGAGAUAAGGACGCCCUUUUACACUACGAAUGACUUCAAAAUACCGUUGGCCACAUCAUUUUUAUCACAUGUCGGGUACAUCUAAAUUAUUAGAGGAUCACAGUAGAUGAUAGAUAUUUGAGUGGGUGAGUAAGUGUGAAAGUGAAUGAGUGAGUGAAUUUUUUGUUUAGCAAUACUUAGUCUGAUCCAGGCAACCCAGUGGUACACAGUAUGUGUUACGACCAUUGUUCCAGUGAACGUGCACGUUUUUGUAUAUUCAUCUCAGAUUGCAAAUAAAAUGUUACCAAAUCUCAA